GAUGAACGCUGGCGGCGUGCCUAAUACAUGCAAGUCGAGCGAACAGACGCGGAGCUUGCUCCUUUGACGUUAGCGGCGGACGUGUGAGUAACACGUGGAUAACCUACCUAUAAGACUGGGAUAACUUCGGGAAACCGGAGCUAAUACCGGAUAACAUGUUGAACCGCAUGGUUCAACAGUGAAAGACGGGCUUGAUGUCACUUAUAGAUGGAUCGGCGCCGCAUUAGAUAGUUGGUAAGGUAACGGCUUAGCACGGCAACGAGGCUUAGCCGACAUGAGAGGGUGAUCGACUACACGGGAUGUGAGACACGGUCGACACAUCGACGGUGGGACGCAGUAGGGAAUCUUACGCAAGGGGGGAAAGCCUAACAUAGCAAAACCGAGGGAGCUAUGAAGGUCCGCGGACGGGAGAAUUCUGUAAUUAGGGAGUAACAAAUGUGUAAGUAGCAAUGCAGAUCUUGACGGUACCUAAUCAGAAAGCCACGGCUAAAUACGUG
rnacentral:rRNA from 1 species